AAGCCAGCCAAUUCAUCUGCCUAUUGGAAUGUGUUUCUGCAGAAAUUUAGAAGAGGCUGGCAAUAGUAAUUCCAUGUAACAAGCUUUAAGGACAACUACAGUCAUUAAGGUUCCCCAAAAUGCUAAAAUAU